AGCAGCCGCGGUAAUUCCAGCUCCAAUAGCGUAUAUUAAAGUUGUUGCAGUUAAAAAGCUCGUAGUUGAAUUUCGGGAUUGGCGCAUCGGUCGUGCCUCACGGGGUAUGAACUGGUGCAGUCAAUUUCUCACCUUCUGGAGAACCGCGAUGUCCUUAAUUGGGUGCCGCGGGGAACCAGGACCUUUACUUUGAAAAAUUAGAGUGUUUAAAGCAGGCAUUUUUGUUGAAUACAUUAGCAUGGAAUAAUAAAAUAGGACGGCAUGGUUCUAUUUUGUUGGUUUCUAGGACCACCGUAAUGAUUAAUAGGGAUAGUUGGGGGCAUUAGUAUUCAAUUGUCAGAGGUGAAAUUCUUGGAUUUAUUGAAGACUAACUACUGCGAAAGCAUUUGCCAAGGAUGUUUUCAUUAAUCAAGAACGAAAGUUAGGGGAUCGAAGACGAUCAGAUACCGUCGUAGUCUUAACCAUAAACUAUAGCCGACUAGGAAUCAGACGAUGUUAAUUUUUAAUGUACUCGUUUGGC
rnacentral:rRNA from 1 species